rnacentral:lncRNA from 1 species
AUCCCGGAGCAGGAGGGAUGUCACCUGCCGGGGAGUGACAGCUGGCCCAGGGUGACAGGUGAGUCACCUGUGUCACCUGUGUCACCUGUGUCACUGUCAGUGUCACCUGUGUCACCUGCCCGGGAGUGACACCUGGCCCAGGGUGACCGGUGAGUCAUUGUCACCUGUGUGACUGUCAGUGUCACCUGUGUCACCUGCCGGGGAGUGACAGCUGGCCACGGGUGACAGGUAAGGGACAUCACCUGUGUCACCUGUGUCACCUGCCGGGGAGUGACACCUGGCCCAGAGUGACAGGUGAGUCAUUGUCACCUGUGUGACUGUCAGUGUCACCUGUGUCACCUGUGUCACCUGCCGGGGAGUGACAGCUGGCCCAGGGUGACAGGUGAGUCACCUGUGUCACCUGUGUCACCUGUGUCACCUGUGUCACCUGUGUCACUGUCAGUGUCACCUGUGUCACCUGUGUCACCUGUGUCACCUGUGUCACCUGCCGGGGAGUGACACCUGGCCCCGGGUGACAGGUGAGUCAUUGUCAUUGUCACCUGUGUCACCUGUGUGACUGUCAGUGUCACCUGUGUCACCUGCCGGGGAGUGACACCUGGCCACGGGUGACAGGUGAGUCAUUGUCACCUGUGUCACCUGUGUCACCUGUGUCACUGUCAGUGUCACCUGUGUCACCUGCCCGGGAGUGACACCUGGCCCAGGGUGACAGGUGAGUCACCUGUGUCACCUGUGUCACCUGUGUCACCUGCUGGGGAGUGACACCUGGCCACGGGUGACAGGUGAGUCACCUGUGUGACCUGUGUCACUGUCAGUGUCACCUGUGUCACCUGUGUCACCUGUGUCACCUGUGUCACCUGCCCGGGAGUGACACCUGGCCACGGGUGACAGGUGAGUCAGUGUCAUUGUCACCUGUGUCACCUGUGUCACCUGUGUCACCUGUGUCACCUGUGUCACCUGUGUCACCUGCCCGGGAGUGACACCUGGCCCAGAGUGACAGGUAAGGGACAUCACCUGUGUCACCUGUGUCACCUGCCGGGGAGUGACACCUGGCCACGGGUGACAGGCUGUUCCGGGGUGACCCUGCUGCUGCAGAGGGGGGGUUUGGGGGUCUCAGGGGUGUCACACAGGGGGAGGUGACACUCGUGUCCCCCCAGGCUGUUCCGGGGUGACCCUGCUGGUGCAGAGGGGGGUCACAGGGGGUCUCAGGGGGUCUCAGG